rnacentral:rRNA from 1 species
GACGAACGCUGGCGGCGCGCUUAACACAUGCAAGUCGAGCGAGAACCGGGGCUUCGGCCCCGGGGACAGCGGCGAACGGGUGAGUAACACGUGGGCAACCUGCCCUCGGCACCGGAAUAGCCCGGGGAAACCCGGAUUAAUGCCGGAUGGCCCCUCAGCCCUGCGGGGCGGUGGGAAAAGGUAGCUUUGGCCUCCGGCCGAGGAUGGGCCCGCGGCGGAUUAGCUUGUUGGUGGGGUAACGGCCUACCAAGGCUCCGAUCCGUAGCUGGUCUGAGAGGACGAUCAGCCACACUGGGACUGAGACGCGGCCCAGACUCCUACGGGAGGCAGCAGUGGGGAAUCUUGCGCAAUGGGCGAAAGCCUGACGCAGCGACGCCGCGUGAGGGAAGAAGGCCUUCGGGUUGUAAACCUCUUUCAGGAGGGACGAAGCCACUCGGGUGAAUAGCCCAGAGGGUGACGGUACCUCCAGAAGAAGCCCCGGCUAACUACGUGCCAGCCGCCGCUGUAA